AACCUCCGCAAUGUGAGAAAUCGCGACGGGGGGAUCCCAAGUGCCAUUCUUAACGGGAUGGCUUUUCAUUAGUGUAAAGAGCUUUUGGAAUAAGGGCUGGGCAAGACCGGUGCCAGCCGCCGCGGUAACACCGGCAGCUCUAGUGGUAGCAGUUUUUAUUGGGCCUAAAGCGUCCGUAGCCGGUUUAAUAAGUCUCUGGUGAAAUCCUGUAGCUUAACUGUGGGAAUUGCUGGAGAUACUAUUAGACUUGAGACCGGGAGAGGUUAGAGGUACUCCCAGGGUAGAGGUGAAAUUCUGUAAUCCUGGGAGGACCGCCUGUUGCGAAGGCGUCUAACUGGAACGGUUCUGACGGUGAGGGACGAAAGUUAGGGGCGCGAACCGGAUUAGAUACCCGGGUAGUCCUAACUGUAAACGAUGCGGACUUGGUGUUGGGGUGGCUUUGAGCCGCUCCGGUGCCGAAGGGAAGCUGUUAAGUCCGCCGCCUGGGAAGUACGGUCGCAAGACUGAAACUUAAAGGAAUU
rnacentral:rRNA from 1 species